CUACUAAAAAGAGAUUUCCCAAAUUGGAUUGACAACGUAGAAGUAUAUGAUCCUUUAAUGUCUCCAGCUGAUAUGCCAGUUUUCAGAAAACUGGGCUUUGAGGUUUUGACCAUUGAUGAAAAUUGUAAGAUGCAAGUUCGAAGACCAACAAUGUUCUAUAUGCCUGUUCCUAAUUAUUAUCUUAUCGGAAAUCUGCUGGGAGCGAACUGGUCUUCGUCUUGUAUUAAACAGAUUUUUCUAUUGACAAACUCUUUUUGCCGUUUGUUGACCAAUAUUUCACAAUGUAAUCGGAAUGGAGAAACAGUGCAACGGCUAGAGAGAAUUCUCCCCUUCACAAAGAGAUUGACAUAAAAACUAGCCAUGAGAAGAUCUAUACUAAUGUGUUUUCAAGAUUUGCUUGGCAUUUCUUUGAUGUGGGUCCCAACAUGGACAUGGAAACAUCACUCCCUUUGAAAAAGAUCACAUAACAUGAAAGAGAAGACGGAAAUCGACAUUGGUUGGAUUGGCAAAGGUAUGUUGAAGAAUCAUUUUUGGAAGAUAUGCAAAGUGAUAUGUCUAGUGAGGGAUUUGCGCAAUAUUUUGGUGAAUACCGUGGGCCUCGUCGUUUAAGAUGCAACGCAGUUCCUCCUCCAUCAGGUUGGAUUAAGCCAAAUGCUUAUGGGAUCGGUAAAGAAGGUGACCAGUCAGGACGAUAUAGUGGCAUCUUCCAAGAUAAUACUGGAAUGUGUUUAGGCAGGUAUAGUGGUACCAUUGAUGUUGAAGACAAUGUGAUUGUUGGACUGGAGGCCUUGAGGAAUGGGUUAGUCAGAUGUGUGGAAGGAAAACCGAAUGCACAGAAAUUGAUUGUGGUGUCUGAUAAUGUCAUACUCGUCCAAUAUGUAAAUGGUCACCCUGAGCCAAAUGAAAUAACCAUGUACAGGUUGAAAGAAAUUUUCAACCUGCUGGAACGUAUAACUUGUGUUGUUUACCAUGUGUAUGAAGAAGCCAAUGAAGCUGCUAGAGACCUGGCUCUG